rnacentral:lncRNA from 1 species
CAGAUCAGAGUUUCCUCCCCAGCAGAGGGACUGGGAAUGGGCUCGGGCUCUGUGCUGAGGAGCUGCUGCCCCCCUGGCUCUGAGGAGAUCCUGCUUUUUGUGGGGAGGAAGCUUUGGGGGCUCUUUAUUAUUUUAAAACUACAAAGUGCUCAGAGGGUAGGUGAUUAUUAAGGGGAAUCCCUGAAUAUAUUCUCCAGCAAAGAAGGCAGGGCUGCUGGGGCUGCUCAAGAAGAGAGCCAGCAGCCUCCUACAGCACCACUACAGGCACCGAGAGGACAUAACAUCACAGAGCGGCUCCUCUGCCCUCCAAAACAACAACUUUCCUACCAUCUUGGAGGUAGUAGAGGGAGAGAGGGAGGGGGAAAAAAGUACAGAAGGUUUUUAUAAAGUGUCGAUUUGGGGGAGGGAGCCGAACGGACAAAAGCAAUUUUUUUUAUUCAUGUAUAUGACUUAUAAUUUUGAAUAAAAAUAAAAUACAAAGGUUUGCGACUGAAGAAAUAAUUUUAUUUAUAUCAUGUUAAGAUCAGCUUUCAGGGGAAAAGAAAAAAAAAGAGGAGGUAUGGAAAAAAAUUUUUUUUUGAAUUUUUUUUCUUUUAAAAAUAAGAAUUUUUAUUUUUUUCCUAUACUUUAGAAAUGUGGCAACUUUUUUAUUACUUUGUGACAGUUCUAAAAAUUAAUGUGCAAUUGUGAAAGUCGGUGUAACUUUUUGUGGUGCUGCUACUGCCAGCAGAGCAACUGCGAUUGAUGCAGGAUAGUUUGGCAGAACUGUAUCGUUACAUCCUCUCUUUCAAGGCACUGUAAGUAAAACUGAAUGUACAGGUAAGAAAAGAAAUGCUUUAUAUAUGUGUGUAUAUAUAUAUAAUUUAUAUAUAUUAAUAUUGAUAUAUCUAUGUAUUAGAAAGGCUUAUAGAAAAGCCACGGGAGAUUUAAUGUGAGUGGAACCUGUGAUAGAUACCUGAAAAAUUCUGCUAAUCUGCCAUAAAUUCAGCAUUGUCUGCCCCUCAGGAGGGGAUGUGAAAAACAAAGCUCACAGAGGAAAUUUGAAGGUAACAAUUAAAUUUUUGUUAAUAUUUUCAAACUGUAUCGCAACUUAUAAAAAAUCUCUUUGGGUUCUUCCUAAGUUGCUGUUUUGAUGUGGGGGCUUUGUUUCUGAUAUUUCUGAAUACGACUAUUCCUGUCUUCUUGCUUGCAAAGUUGAGAAAUGCUGUUAACUUAUGCUACAGUACCCUGCAAUAUGGGAUGGUCAUUGUGCUUUUCCUUCUUCCAGAUGCUUUUAUUAGAGUGCUAAACAUAGACAAAGUGCUGUCAAAACGAUGUGAGAUUUUACUGUGUGUCCAUAGGUGAGGACACUCACUGAUCAUUGCCUCGAGCAGACCGACGAUCACGUUUGCAAUAUGCAGCCCAGUACAGGGAACCGCAGAGAUGCCUAUUUAUUCCUCCUGGAGAAAGAGGAAAUAAUUAGGGAACUAAUAAGCUCUACAUGGAAAAAAUGCAUUUAGAUUUUAUUCGUUGUAAAAAAAAAAAAUUGUUCAGGUGGUGUAGGCUAAUUGAGCUGCAAUCAGAAUGAAGUCACAUGAAUGAAGGUAUUGGGUUUUUUAGUGUUAUUGCACCCUCCCUCUGUCAAAUCUGAAAUAUAUUGAGUCUUACCUCUCUUACUAUAUUUUUUUAUUUAAAUACAUAUUUUCCCAAUACAGAUAUACUCCUUCAAUCCCUUCUGAAAAUACACUCUUGUCAGUUGCCUGGCGAGCAUAGUCUGUGUGUUCAUCGUGGCUUUUUCAUGUAGAUCCAUUAGUUUGAAUUAAAGUUUAAUUAAAAGUCGGUUGGUCUUUGCGUCAAGCUGCGUAUUUUUUGUUUGGCUGGAUUGUUUUAAGUGAUGGUUAGUCUAAUUAGCACGCCUUAAUAAUGCAGCGUUGCAUUCCGCGGAGUUACUGCAAAGGUGGGUUUUUUUUUUGUAGCAGGUUAUUAAUCCAUUAAGUGCAUUAUUCAGCUCUGACAUUAGGAAAAUAAUAAUAAUAAUCACAUGCAUUGCUCCCGUUUCCCAUUUGAAAAAAAUUGUAUAAAAGUAAUGGCAUGAUUAGGGUACUUUGUAAUCUCACCAGUCAUUAUUGUGUCAUUUGAAGCAUGAAAUAUAAUGAUUAUUUUGCAGGAUAUUUAAAUAAAAAAUACUUUUACAUUCUGUAUGUAAAACUCACUGCAGGAAUGACAGCGAUUACAAAUGUUGAUCAUAAUUGGGAUGAUUAAAAAAAAAAAAACCAACACUUUUUUGAAAUAUUAGGAAUAAACGCUCUCCUGUGGCAAUGCAUUCAGAAAUGAAGCAGUCGCAGAGCAAGCUCAUAUCUCCUUUUCAUCUACAUAAGGAAUGGACCAAAUUCUCAGACCAGUUGUUCAGAUGCUUGCAGGCCUGCUUAAUAAUUCAGGGGUGUUUGAGGAAUUGCUCCAUACUCACUUGCAUAAAGCUCCAAAGUCGCUAGAGUUUUGCUGUAGUGCAGUAUUCAAGUUUCUACGCCAGGUGAUUUCUUGUAUCUUUGUGUUGCACAGAAUGGCCACGUUGAACUGGAAGUCAAUAGGUUAGCGUAAUUCAAAUGUAAUUCAAGUUAGUGCUUUUCAUUGCGCUAUUGAAAAAUGGUUGCAGAGAGAGGGAGGCAUAAUGCUAACAGCUGAUCCGCACUGAGUCUGGCUGCCGUGCUCUUGAGAAUACCCAUAGAGCGAGCUGAGGGGUGUCUUAGUGCUUUUUGAAAUGGGAUGCAGAUGAUACAACACGUUAGAGAAAAGGCUGUGAAAGAAAGCACUUGAGAACCCGAGUACAGAAACAAUACUAAACCCUUUCUUUGGCUCACGUGCUUGACUUUGCAGAUCAGUAAGAUCUCAAGCAGCAUCUUUAUGCAGUGUUGGUGUAUGUAAGUGUGAUGAGUUCUAGGAUUGAGCUAACCAUUUAAAACCAGCAUAUAUUGGAACAGUGCUCAUCUUUUUUUUUUUUUUUAAACAUGCUUUGCUGUGGGCAUUUUGUUUCUUGCAUCAGUUGCCUAUGGGAUGUCUCAAUUCCUGUUAUCCUGUACUAGUACAUAUUAGGUAAGCAGCAAAACACCACCAAGAAUAAAUGACUGUCUUUGUUUUUUUGAGUUUUAAGGUCCAUAAGAAAGCUUACUGGAGCAACUGGAAUUUUGCUGUGGAUUUCUGUAGGAAUAAGGCUGCUGAAGUAUUGAACCAAUUGGGAGCGGGCAUAUGCUAGCUUACUGCAUGGUAAUAUAAUUAAUUGACAGUGAACUGAACUGAAAAUAGUAAUUAACUAAGACUUUACUAACCUGUUCUUCAUUAUCAGCGUGUAAUUUUAUCUGCAUUAGAUGUUAUUGUCUCUUAAAUCUCAGCAAAUACAGAAUAGUAAGGUGAUCAGUCACGGGGAAGUUUUCCAGAGUACAUGACAGGCAUCUGUGGAGGCUUCUUUAAAUAGAAGACAAAUGAAAUAAACUGCCCCAGCAGAGUGCUCUAAUACAGCCCUGUUUUACUAGGGAGGCCACUGUUAAUUGAAAGCAGGCUAUUGCACUUUUCCUUAUCUAUCCACUUGCGCCUAUUGAUAUUUCAUUAACUGUAAUCACAGCUGUUAAAAAGCUACACACUUUAUUACCAGCCUUUCUUUCAAUUACUCAUCUACAGGGGGUCUCGGUCAUCACUGCAAGUUAGAAAGAUAAUUCCAACUCUAGGCCAAAUCAGUGAUCUCUCCGAUUUCUGACAGUGUCCUGUACCAAGAUGCUUCAAAAAGAGAUAGGGGACAUCCCAUGAUGGGGAGCACAGAAAUAAAAAGCACAGCAUCUGGGCAUUGAUCCCAAACUUUCACUUUCUGGGGGAAAUGCUGCAGAUGCUUCCUCCUCUGCCUUGAGCUAUACUUCAAAAUACAUGUUAAAAUGAGGCACUUAGAACUAUUUUUACAAGUGGCCUAGUUUUGUUGGCUCUUUCAAAGUCUUGCUGAAAGCGCAUCUCAGUUUGACUCAACUUUCCAUUGGGGACCAUGUUGUCUUUUUUAAUCAAAGAAUCUCACUAAAUUGCCCAGGAUUUAAAGAGUGUCCCUCUGGAAUGUGGGCUGCCAAUGCUUUUGGGUAAGUGGAUAUUGAGUGGAGAUUUUUUUUUUUUUAAUCACAAUUAAAAAAAACUUAAGUCUGCACUAUUUUGACAGGAGGUGGGAAAGGGGGACAGUUUGAUCCUCUUUAAUUGGACUGCUGGUGCUAACUUUGCCUAAACUUGCUCCAAAAUAUAAGUGCUCAGUAGGGCUUUACCUUGAAUCAACACAACCUCUUCUUUUUUCUGCUUCUCCACCACCUUCUGCCAAAGACAAGGCUACAUAAAAGCAAGGUUUAAUUUAAGGCAUAUUUAAGAGCUUACGUACCUAGUACUGCUUUAAGAGAAAAGAGUGCUUAGUGACUGAACCUAUCUGUCUCUGCUCAACACAUUCUUUCUCAUGAUAUCCACACAGGCAGGAGAGCACAGGAAAAAGGAAAUUGCAGGACCAGUAACCUUCAUCAAGUGAGAAAGUGUGCCAGCUGUCCAUUGGAUAUGAUCAGGGCUGCCUUUGGGGAACUGAUCUCCCUCUGUUCUUACCUCCUUCUUUGUUUGGCCUACAUCACCUCCAUUUCUGUGUUGGACCCCUACUUAUCUUUUUAUCCAUACCUGAACAGAAGUCCGCACACCUACAGUCUGCCUAGCCAGCACAGCAAACAAAAGCAGUAUGGACUACAGUAUGAACUCAGUUGAUAAGCAUGCCCAUUUAGAUUUCUUUAUUACCUAGUUUCUAAUAGUCAAAAUCCACAGAGCCUUACUGCUAUUAUGAAGUUUGUCUAAAAAGUUCCCUACUUAGUGACUAGUUAAGGGGCAGGGGGAGAGGGCAGAAACAGGACACUUCUAAUUACCCUUCUAAUUACCCUUCUUAAAAUAAGGGCUGGGUACUUCUAUUCAAGAAGUAUUUCCUAUAUACACACACACACUAAUUGAAGGAUGCAGCACUUUCAAAAGUAAUAAUGAUGUGCCUGUGCUCCCAGAGUUAAACGCUGUUAUUUAAUAAAACAAAAAGCUGUACAUUUUUUUGAGCCUUUAUAAAUUGUGAAAUGAAGAAAUGACUUAUGUACAAUAUGGAUUUUCAGGGGGAAAAAAAGGGAAUUAAUCCAAGGAACAUAGAAACCCAUUAUUUUACUGAAUACAGGAUUCAGUGAAACCUUUUCCUUUUGAACCUACCACUUGUGGAAAGAAGUAGCUGUCUUGCUUUUGGCAUACGUUGUUAUACACAUUCUUCUUUUGCUGUUCCUGCCACAACCUCCUUUUUCCCCCUAAAGAAGUCACACUCCACAAGGACAGAGGGAGGUUUUAUGCUGUGCUUGGUCACACACAUGGACAUACCUGUUAACUGCCACAUUAAUAGACUACAGUACUUCCAGCUGUUUCCUUAGUGUGCACAGUAUCUUUGCAUGGAGUGAAUAGUUACUUUGUACCACCAAGAGAACUGACCCUGGGAAAUGGCAGGCUGGGCUGAGCAACAUCCAGUGAUUAAGAGUUGGUUGGUUAGGGUAAGGCAGACUGGCUAAGCUGAGGAAACCAGGAAGAGACUUCCUCCUUGGCAGGAAGAAAAGAACUAAAAGAACUUUUAAAAUGCUCCUUGAUUGUUAUUGAAAAAUGUCAAAGAUGGAAGAGUUUUUAGAGAGUUAAGAAUUCUAGACCAGCACUCACAUGAACUCAGUUUUAUUCUACACUGGAAAACGUAGGUUUUCCUUGUGAAAAACUGAAAGAGGUUGGAAGUGAUGACCUUGUAACAGUGCUUCAGUCUGCAUGGUUCCUGGAAGGAUUCCUCUACACCCUCCUACUACUCUAGUACCUCAUUGCUGGGGUAGCUAGCCUUCUUCUAAACAUGCUAUCCAACAUUCUGUAACACCAAGCAGAUACUCACUGUUCUGAAGUCAUUGCAAAGCUUUAAAAUGAAACCCCAUGGUCUCCUCUUUCACUUUGCUAUAAAAAGAUCAGUGCACAGAGGAACUAUAGUGAGAUUUUUUUCUUGCUCUGGUGCAGCUGAAGGCCUUUUAUGUUUUGCUAAGUUUUAAAAAGUUUAACAUUUCAAAGCGAUGUGAAAAUUGCUUUCUCUUUUUCACAGCAUAAAAGGAUUUCUUCCCUUGAGUACUUUUCUCAACUGCCAACAAAACAGAGAAACAUCCAAAUAUCUAGAGCAGUGGUAGGUGAGCACUGACACAAACCAGGUACAUUUGACUGAAAAGGGGGAACUUACUCUGGAAGUGCAAGACAAAAAUCGAGCGUUCACAUCCUCCUCAGUGUUUAAAAUAUCUAGAUGCUCUGUGAGGUUACAAUCCAGUGUUUAGGCUACAAAGAACUGUCCUUGGCAAAUCAAAACUUCUCCUGAGGCUGAGUUGCUUACUGAGUUUUCAUACAAGAAGCAUGAGCUUUAUAAAUUACAUGGGUAAUGGCUUGUUUAAUAUUAUAAUUUAUUUGUAUACAAUCAUCAUGUAUGCAGCCUCUAGGUACAGCAAGUUGAAUGCUGCAUAUUCUCUCCAGCCACAGGAGUCCUAUAUUAUGGGACCAUGUGAACUGAUGAAAAUGUGGAUGUAAAAAGAAAUGCCACUGCCUAGCAAUUAGAUUCUGGAGAAAAAAAACAAAUAAAGAAGGUAUUGGUCACAGCUAUUAACUGCAACAAAUACUUGGAUGGAGGUGGGAGCAGUUUGCUCAGUAACUAGCAGCUGGCCGGCUCUUCCACUGCAUGAGCACCUUCAACAACAGCUUUCACACACUUGGCCAUUGUCUGGGAUGCUCUACUGAUGGAAUCUGCAGAAAUAGGAAGACAAAACCACACUUGUAUGUAAACUACUAGUUUUCAACAUACACAGAUUUACACAGUUGAUAUAAAAAUUUAGUACAGGACUGCAUACAAAGAGAAAAAAUGCCCUAUACUCUAUGCAAAUGCCAAAUCUUAUGAGAAUUGUUUGAAGAAAGUAAAAUUCAACAUAGAUUAGUGGAAAGCUUUAAGUGCCUCAUAAAAAAAAUCAUACUGUAAAGCAAAGUAAAAUGUAUUGCAGGUUUCAGAGUGGAAAAGCCAUCCUCUACGUACCUGUCAUAUAGAAGUCUUUUAUUGUGAGCUGAGGUGGAACAAGAGGAUCAGCAAGAAGCUGCUGCUUUACUAACUGUGGCAAGAAAGGAAGAAAAAUGAAGUUAAGCAGCUUUAUGAUAGGAACUUGGUACUAAUGUAUUCCUGUUGUGAAAUCUGCAUUCACUGUUCAGUGUAGAUCAAAUUAUGCUCGCAGUACUAUAUAUGAAGGCAGCUGUUUUCUUAAAAAGCAUUCACGUAUGUAACAGCAUUAAACCAUGCUUAAGUGCUUCGGUUACCUUUGAUAAUUCGUUUGCCUGCUUGAAGUAGUUCGCCUCCUCCACAUCAUCAUAUCGGACAAGAUUAGGAGAUACCUCUUCUAAACGCUUCCGUAUUUCAUCAAGGUUCUCAUAAGGCAGGGUCAAAUCAGCCACCUAAGAGAUUCACAGAAAGAAAUGCCAUCACAUCUACGUGUUCAACACAUAGUAUUUUAAUUACCAAUCCAUUAGCAUGCUCAAAGUAAAACAAUAAAAAAAUAAAAUCAGGAAAACUAUGCUCCUGAAAACCUUGGCAAUUCUAACAUACAGACUGAAGCCUUCACAGCUAUCACAGUAUUCUGUUGAGCUUUUGAUGCCUACAGAUAGAACUACCUCAUGGUAAAAGAAAAAAGAAUAAUUAAAAAUCAGGAAAAAUAAAGAGAAGACAAAGUAUUUUCAUAUAUGUAUAGCCUUGCUUGCACUUUCCCUUGCUUCCUACCAAGCACGAUGAAAGUUGAUGCCAUUAUCAGUGUAUCACUUCUAGUGACUCGCACACAUGUAUUUCUAUCUUUCUUGGUACCAGAUCCUGUCCCAAGCAUUAUUGUUUUCUUUCUGAAAGCAACAAACUGUAUCCUCCCACCAGCUUGCUCUAAAGCACCUCAGAAAGACCAGCAGGAUUUCCACACAAAGCUUCAUCCAGUAUGCAUUCCAACAACAUACAGCAGCUACAGAACUAGUCCUAGACCUAAAAGGUAAACAGUAUUAUUUACCUCACACAAUAGUGAAAGGAUUCAAUACAAAACGCUGUUACAUAAGACUACAAGCAUACAUUUCCCUAAAAACAUACCACUUUGGAAACACUUUUCAAAAGAAAGGGAACUUAACUACUCACUAUACUUUUACUAGAAGCAAUUUUUAGUGGAAACAGUACCUCAGAGAUAGCUCUAAUGAUUUUCCAGUCUUCCCUUGCCAUCCCAGGAGGUGUCACUGCUACUCUUGUCUGCUGGGCCCUACCCUCAGUAUUCACAUAUGUUGCUGCCUUCUCUGUAUAUGCUGCUCCUGGGAGAAUAACAUCAGCCAUGGGAGCUCCCACAUCCCCAUGAUGUCCUGAAUAGGUAGACAAAAAAAACGUAAACAAGCAUUCCACUUUAUGUCUUAUGUUAAGUAAUACAGAAUUUCUGUGUUUCCAGAAGGAAAAAGUUUGAGGUUCACUUAAUCAGUGACACAAAGCAUAUUUUGAUGACUGUUCUGAGGUCUUAUGUGCCCAUCACUUUAGUGAAAAGAGCCUGCAAGCAGUAGAAAAUAGUGAUUCAGCCUCUAUAGCCGUAUAACUUAGUAGGACUCCCAGAAGAAGGAGCCUAGUGAAUUAAGAUAAGACCAUGUUUUGGUAUGACAGAACAGCUGGGAACCCACUUCUUUCUGCCAGGCCUGAAGCUAAGCUGCACACUGUCAAACUGGUUUAUAUUCCCCUAUUAGUUAUCAAUGAUUUCUUACUUAAGAAAUAAAUAACCAGUCUGUCAGUCGCAUGUUGGAAGUUUCAUCUGUUGUCAGAAAAUAAAGGCUAUAAUUUAUCAAAGGGUCAGAUAUGUUUCUAAGAGCAUGACACCGCGUAGGCUCUCUCUCCAGCUUUUAGCUGACAACACUCCUAAAUUUACAUCUACUAAUUACCUUGAUAGAUGAUAAAGCAAUCCUUUGGCAAAUCCUGACGCGUUAUACAACCAGAAUCUGCUCCCAAGAGAUACAACACUUUGGGAGGAUUUUUCCUAAUUGCCUCCACUCCUGGUUUGAAACCCAGAUCCAAAGCAGCUACCUGGCUUGCAACCCUGCAGGAACAAACAUGACUGCAAGUUAUUUCAGAACUUUCUUAUCAGAACAGGCUUAACUUUCUGACCCAGUAUUUUGGACUGCUUUGUCUCUAGCAGUAACAGGACAAAACUGAAGCAUAAAGACAGCUGAGAAUUUUGACAAAGUAGUUGACAAUAUUAGGUUGUUUUUGCCUUUUGACAGAAUGAUGCCAAUUCAACUGUUCCUGAUGAACCCCACUUACUUCAGAUGGGAUAGCAGAAUAAAAGCAGACAGUACAGUUCAGGGCCUAGUGGUGGAGAGCUAACUCAUCACAUGGAACACCACAGUUCACAUUUCAGCCAUGACCUUUGCUUAGCAGGACUUUUAAUUUAGAGCACUCACACGACAGAUGAAAGACUACCAUCAACCACACUGAAUCUCCACUUCAUCUCUACUCACUUAUGCACACACGCAGAACAUUCUUAAAGUGAAAACACCACUCAUUUUGCAGCAUGUACUUUUCCAUAAUCCUACAUAGUCAGGUGCCAUGCUCAUGGAUAUUUAAAAGAUUCUCUCUGUAGGGCACAC